rnacentral:ncRNA from 1 species
ACUCUGCUUUUUGAUUCUUCGAUGUCGUCUCUUCUGAUCAUCGUAGUGUAUAUUUUACGAAGUGUUGGAUUGUUCACCCGGUAAUGAGGAACGUGAGAUGGGUUUAGACCGUCGUGAGACAGGUUAGUUUUACCCUACUGUGAGUAUAUUUGAGUGAACUUUGAUAGUACGAGAGGAACUCUAAGUGAUGACCACUGGUGGUGCGAUUAACUAUUCAGUUAUGUUGCUUAGCUACGUCAUUUCGAUUAAGGCUGAAAGCCUCUUAAGCCUGAAGCGUAGCUCAAAUAUAUAAUUGGGAGAAUACUACUCUAUUAAGCAGAACUGUAAGGAUGAAGGUGUAUACCGACAUCUUGAGGUUACUGCUUUUAUAACUUAGAGUAGGUUUGGUC